UGCCUUUUCAUGUAAACAGGUCAGAGGUAAACUUGAGUCCAAUAUACUUUUGGCUUUUAAAAGUUUAUGAAUUAGUAGAGUCUGAGCAAAUGCUGUCUCACUUUGGUUUCUGUUUACUAGACACUGUGCAAUUUUAUUACAAUCAGAUCUGAAACUGUUAUCUCUAAAAAGUUGUUGCUAAAAGAGAUAUCACAGAGGGAGGCCAGCUGGCUGCUUCAAGCUGUCAUAUGCCAUGGCAUAGCGAAGGGCGUGACUGACGAGCUUCUGGAAACUCUUCUUGGGCACAAAAACAUUGACAGACAUUGGGAAGAUGGAAGUAAAACAAAGUAGUAAGGCAAGUUCCUCGCAGAGUCUGCUCAAGCUUGGCUAUUGGUCAGGAAAGAAGGAGGUCCUAUGCAGGCAAGGGCUAAGGUGCUGAGAUGGAAAGUUUGAACAGCAUCCUGAAAGAGGAUGUCUGGAUGAAGGAUCCGCCGGAGCGAAGAGCGACUGGGCAGUGUUCUCCAAGAGCAUCUGAAGAUGUGGGCCACACCGUAAACAGCUGGGGGCACCUUCGGAAACUUAUCAUGGUGCCAUUAAAAAGAGGUUCGAGACCUGGGAAGAACUUGGAAGAAGAAGAAGAACGUAUUUAUUGAAUGCAUUCCUUCAACACUUAAAGGACAAGGGCCACAUCUUGUUCGGUAUUGUAUUCCUAUCUCCUGCACGCAGAGUAGGCAUUCAACACAUAUUUAUUACCUGCGUGAGUUUACAAUUUCUGGGAGAGCUGCAUGGGAGAUAAAUGUAUUCAAUUUUUUUUUUUUUUUUAAUAGCUCAGCACCACCAAGUCAUUCUAGUUACCUGAGGUAUACUGUAUUCUAGCAUAUUCGGAGCACUAUUAAUCUGAAGACAGGCAGAGUCAUCUGGCUGGCAGUCUUUUCACGGCAUUCUCCCUGACAUCUCCGGGAAAACAGCAAGGAUCUGGCGAAACGUUUUGACUUUGCAGACUGUGGGGUUGUUCUCUUCGGGGGCCCUGGCUGCCAACAUCCCCGAGAUAGAGUGAACUUUUGACUCUGGGCACAGCACAAAGCCCCCCCGCUGCUCCCUGUAGGAGUGAAGAGCUUGGACGGGGUUAAGGACUUUGGUGGCUUUUGCAAAUGCUUUAAGGCAGCUUCACCUGCAUUUGCAUCAGCAAGCCGGUCUGAGAAGUGCGCAGACCAGCCAAGAGCAGAGCCUGUUUUGAAUAUGCCAUCCAGGAUUCCUGGGAAUCCAGCUAUAGGGACCGAUGUCUGACAAUUGUGUUUUUCUUUACAUAAACCCCAGCAGCUCUGCCACCAGCAGCUGUCUCCCGUGUGUUCUUGAAGCAUCGCGUCCUUGAAAGGAGUUUCAUCUCCUGCAUAUCCUGUUUAUUUUCUCAGGUGAAAUGAUCUCACGAAACCAUUUUCACUUAAUGAAAUUACCUGCCUGGGCCCAAAAGCUUUAUGUUUGAAGAGGACAUUUCUUUU
rnacentral:lncRNA from 1 species